CAUCACAUCUCAGACUGGGAUUUAUACCAUCAGCUCCCCUGGUUCUCAGGCCUUAAGACUCAAACUGAAUCACAACACCGUCUUUCCGGGGCCUCCAGCUUGCAGAUGGCAGAUCCUGGGACUUCUCAGCUUCCAUAAUCACGAUAUAAUCCCAGGAGGGGAAUCACUGGGUCAAACGACAUGAGUACUUUAUGACUCUUGACACGUGUUGCCAAAUUGGAUUCCCAAAGGACUAAUUUCCAUCGCCACCAGCAACGUCCUGAAAUUGAAAUGCCUGGUUUCAAACCCACAUUCUACCUCUUAACUAGCUGUGUGACCUCAAGCAAGUUACUU